rnacentral:hammerhead_ribozyme from 1 species
GCACUGCUGACGAGUCCCAAACAGGGCGAAAUAGUUGUCCGGUGC